rnacentral:rRNA from 1 species
GUAGGUGGCAAGCGUUGUCCGGAAUUAUUGGGCGUAAAGCGCGCGCAGGCGGUUCUUUAAGUCUGAUGUGAAAGCCCACGGCUCAACCGUGGAGGGUCAUUGGAAACUGGAGAACUUGAGUACAGAAGAGGAAACGCGGAAUUCCACGUGUAGCGGUGAAAUGCGUAGAGAUGUGGAGGAACACCAGUGGCGAAGGCGGCUUUCUGGUCUGUAACUGACGCUGAGGCGCGAAAGCGUGGGGUAGCAAACAGGAUUAGAUACCCUGGUAGUCCACGCGUAAACGAUGAGUGCUAAGUGUUAGGGGGUUUCCGCCCCCUUAGUGCUGCAGCUAACGCAUUAAGCACUCCGCCUGGGAGUACGGCCGCAAGGCUG